AACAUGACCCUCUCCAGCUUCUGCCCUACCUUUCACUCAAAGCAGGGUUUGCUGAGUGCCUUCAAGAGCUCAGACCCUCUUGGCCCCUUCUGGGUGUGUCUGUGUUCAAGAAGGGAAGCUAUGGACUUAUGGCUCAGAUAUGGAAUAUCCCCUAAAGGAUGGUGUAUUCAGUGCUGGGCCCUCGUGGGCCAGGACCGUUUUUUGAAGAUCUGACCGGUCUUGGAUGCCAAGUCCAGGGCAGCAGCCUCGAGUGAAGAAUUCUGCAGCUCCAAACCUGCUCAGGUGCUCACGCAACGUCAUAGCUUUAGAUCCCUGCCGCAGCCUCAAGCCAAGUCCUCUGUGUUGCUGCGACUUGCUCUCAGGAAGCUAUACAGGCAAGCAGGAUUUGUGAGAUGAAGAGGCCUCUGCCCCCAAAGUGUUUUCAUCUCGUCAGCAGAGGGGGCGGCUCAGUGUGGCAUGUUCUGUGCUCCGUGUCAGUGGUCUACUUGCAGGUUACCUGCGUGCCAGCUACCCACAAGUGAGCCAAGUUUCCCCAGCCUCAGUUUGCACACUCCCUACCUUGUGGGGAUCAUCAUGCAAUCUGCACACCACACUGCAAUUUGAGGAGCUGAGGAAGAAGUCUCCUAUGCAGGACAUUUGCCAAAGGGGAUGGAGCACUGUUGGCAUUAUUCUAGUGUACUGGCUGGUUCUGGGUGUCAAACUGACUCAAGCUGGAGCUAUCACAGA